rnacentral:rRNA from 1 species
GAUGACGUCAAAUCAUCAUGCCCCUUAUGAUUUGGGCUACACACGUGCUACAAUGGACAAUACAAAGGGCAGCGAAACCGCGAGGUCAAGCAAAUCCCAUAAAGUUGUUCUCAGUUCGGAUUGUAGUCUGCAACUCGACUACAUGAAGCUGGAAUCGCUAGUAAUCGUAGAUCAGCAUGCUACGGUGAAUACGUUCCCGGGUCUUGUACACACCGCCCGUCACACCACGAGAGUUUGUAACACCCGAAGCCGGUGGAGUAACCUUUUAGGAGCUAGCCGUCGAAGGUGGGACAAAUGAUUGGGGUGAAGUCGUAACAAGGUAGCCGUAUCGGAAGGUGCGGCUGGAUCACCUCCUUUCUAAGGA